rnacentral:rRNA from 1 species
GAUGAACGCUGGCAGAAUGCUUAACACAUGCAAGUCAACUUGAACUUCGGUUUGGGUGGCGGACGGGUGAGUAACGCGUAAAGAACUUGCCUCACAGCUAGGGACAACAUUUGGAAACGAAUGCUAAUACCUGAUAUUAUGAUUAUAUGGCAUCGUAUAAUUAUGAAAGCUAUAUGCGCUGUGAGAGAGCUUUGCGUCCCAUUAGCUAGUUGGAGAGGUAACAGCUCACGAAGGCGAUGAUGGGUAGCCGGCCUGGGAGGGUGAUCGGCCACAAGGGGAUUCGGGAGGCAGCAGUACUCAAUCGGGAGGCAGGGGUGGAGAAUAUUGGCAGACAGACCGAGAGUGUGAAGAAGGAAUUCGGUGUGUAAAAUGAAGUUUUUCGGAAUGAAAAGUAGUUUGAGUUGGGAAGAAAGAAAUGACGGUACCAACAGAAGAAGCGACGGCUAAAUACGUG